GAGUUUGAUCAUGGCUCAGGAUGAACGCUGGCGGCGUGCUUAACACAUGCAAGUCGAACGAUGAUCCCAGCUUGCUGGGGGAUUAGUGGCGAACGGGUGAGUAACACGUGAGUAACCUGCCCUUAACUCUGGGAUAAGCCUGGGAAACUGGGUCUAAUACCGGAUAUGACUCCUCAUCGCAUGGUGGGGGGUGGAAAGCUUUAUUGUGGUUUUGGAUGGACUCGCGGCCUAUCAGCUUGUUGGUGAGGUAAUGGCUUACCAAGGCGACGACGGGUAGCCGGCCUGAGAGGGUGACCGGCCACACUGGGACUGAGACACGGCCCAGACUCCUACGGGAGGCAGCAGUGGGGAAUAUUGCACAAUGGGCGCAAGCCUGAUGCAGCGACGCCGCGUGAGGGAUGACGGCCUUCGGGUUGUAAACCUCUUUCAGUAGGGAAGAAGCGAAAGUGACGGUACCUGCAGAAGAAGCGCCGGCUAACUACGUGCCAGCAGCCGCGGUAAUACGUAGGGCGCAAGCGUUAUCCGGAAUUAUUGGGCGUAAAGAGCUCGUAGGCGGUUUGUCGCGUCUGCCGUGAAAGUCCGGGGCUCAACUCCGGAUCUGCGGUGGGUACGGGCAGACUAGAGUGAUGUAGGGGAGACUGGAAUUCCUGGUGUAGCGGUGAAAUGCGCAGAUAUCAGGAGGAACACCGAUGGCGAAGGCAGGUCUCUGGGCAUUAACUGACGCUGAGGAGCGAAAGCAUGGGGAGCGAACAGGGUUAGAUACCCUGGUAGUCCAUGCCGUAAACGUUGGGCACUAGGUGUGGGGGACAUUCCACGUUUUCCGCGCCGUAGCUAACGCAUUAAGUGCCCCGCCU
rnacentral:rRNA from 1 species